rnacentral:tRNA from 1 species
ACCAGUGUGGUGUAAUGGUUUGAGCAUUAGACUAUGACUCUGAAGACCAGGGUUCAAAUCCCUGCUCAGCUG